UACGGGGGGGGCAAGCGUUGUUCGGAAUUACUGGGCGUAAAGGGCUCGUAGGCGGCCAACUAAGUCAGACGUGAAAUCCCCAGGCUCAACCUGGGAACUGCGUCUGAUACUGGAUGGCUUGAAUCCGGGAGAGGGAUGCAGAAUUCCAGGUGUAGCGGUGAAAUGCGUAGAUAUCUGGAGGAAUACCGGUGGCGAAGGCGACAUCCUGGACCGGCAUUGACGCUGAGGAGCGAAAGCUAGGGGAGCAAACAGG
rnacentral:rRNA from 1 species